AGUGAGCGCUGGCGGUAGGCCUAACACAUGCAAGUCGAACGGCAGCACAGGAGAGCUUGCUCUCUGGGUGGCGAGUGGCGGACGGGUGAGGAAUACAUCGGAAUCUACUCUGUCGUGGGGGAUAACGUAGGGAAACUUACGCUAAUACCGCAUACGACCUACGGGUGAAAGCAGGGGACCUUCGGGCCUUGCGCGAUUGAAUGAGCCGAUGUCGGAUUAGCUAGUUGGCGGGGUAAAGGCCCACCAAGGCGACGAUCCGUAGCUGGUCUGAGAGGAUGAUCAGCCAGACUGGAACUGAGACACGGUCCAGAGUCCUACGGGGGGCAGCAGUGGGGAAUAUUGGACAAUGGGCGCAAGCCUGAUCCAGCCAUACCGGGUGGGUGAAGAAGGCCUUCGGGUUGUAAAGCCCUUUUGUUGGGAAAGAAAUCCAGCUGGCUAAUACCCGGUUGGGAUGACGGUACCCAAAGAAUAAGCACCGGCUAACUUCGUGCCAGCCGCCGCCGUAA
rnacentral:rRNA from 1 species